GUUUGGACAUCCUCAUGUCCUGCCACCAGGUACUCCAAGCCUGCAGAGCAGCAAAGCAGUGGGAGUCAGAGGAUCGAACAGCCAGGUGUCUGAGUGAAGCACUGAAGACAAUUACUUGGCUGCACUGGAGCUAGCCUGGUGCUCCUGGCUGGGGAGCUUGGGGCCAGUGCAGCUGCCAGGGCAGUGUAUACACCUCCAUAUGCUGCCAUCUGGUUUGGCCAUGGUCACUGGACCUGCCAGGUGGGCAGUGGGAGAGGUCCGGUGCCCAUUUACCCCACGAGUUCAGCAAAGACUUUGGCUUCCUUAGCAGCUUUGGAGAUCCAGCUCAACAUCAGGAAGAACUUCUUUGGUGUGAGGGUGAUGGAGCACUGGAGCAGGCUGCCCAGGGAGGCUGUGGAGUCUCCUUUGGAGGCUCUCAGAACCUGCUUGGACAUGUUCCUGUGUGUCCUGCCCUGCAGAGGGGUUGGGCUAGAUGAUCUCUGGGGGUCCCUUUCAAUCCUUACCACUCUGUGAUUGUAUGAACAAAGCAAGAUGCUUCCCCCACCAUGACCUCUGUGCGCUUUGGGAAGGUCACAUAUCUGCCCCUGCACCGAGGAUCGCUGAGAUAAAGCCUUGCACUCAGCAUCCCCUCUCGUCUAGCACUGCCAUUUACAGCCCUCCCCCCUCGCCCCCAACUCACCAUAGGUGUACUUCAUCCCACAGAAGACCUUGGGACUCCCUAAAACUUGCUCUUUACAUUCACAUUUACCUGGGGAAAGAGAAAGAAACAAACAGCUGCAGCCUUAGAAGACAGGAGCCUUCUCCAGCAGAGCCUGGGACUUGCCAGAAGCUUUCACAUGGUCCACGAGGCCCAUGAACAGCAAGGAAAAAAAAGUCCUAUUUUCAGAUCCAAGGGCAAUUACUCCUUGUUUACAACGUGAAGAGAAACAAAGGCCUUAUUAUUUUGCCUUGGGAUGCAAAUAACACUCGUGUCUCUCUCCCCAUGGUAUUUUCCACACCAUCGUGUACCAGACGGCACUCAAAGAGAAAGGAAACGUCGCAGAGGUUAAGGCAGAUUAAUGACUUCCCUGAUCUCAGAACAAAGGAUAACAUGAUAGACUUAUUUAUGUUUCAAAUGAAGUUGCUCAGACAAAUGCUGGAGC